rnacentral:rRNA from 1 species
UACGUAGGUGGCAAGCGUUGUCCGGAAUUACUGGGCGUAAAGCGAGCGCAGGUGGUUUAUUAAGUCUGGUGUAAAAGGCAGUGGCUCAACCAUUGUAUGCAUUGGAAACUGGUAGACUUGAGUGCAGGAGAGGAGAGUGGAAUUCCAUGUGUAGCGGUGAAAUGCGUAGAUAUAUGGAGGAACACCGGUGGCGAAAGCGGCUCUCUGGCCUGUAACUGACACUGAGGCUCGAAAGCGUGGGGAGCAAACAGG